AGCAGCCGCGGUAAUUCCAGCUCCAAUAGCGUAUAUUAAAGUUGUUGCAGUUAAAAGGCUCGUAGUUGAAUUUCGGGGUUAGCAGGUCGGUCGUGCCAAUGGUAUGCACUGGCCUUGCUGAUUCCUCCCUCUUGAUGAACCGUAAUGCCAUUAAUUUGGUGUUGCGGGGAAUCAGGACUGUUACUUUGAAAAAAUUAGAGUGUUUAAAGCAGGCAAGCGCUUGAAUACAUUAGCAUGGAAUAAUGAAAUAGGACGUUUGAUCCUAUUUUGUUGGUUUCUAGGAUUGACGUAAUGAUUAAUAGGGAUAGUUGGGGGCAUUAGUAUUCAAUUGUCAGAGGUGAAAUUCUUGGAUUUAUUGAAGACUAACUACUGCGAAAGCAUUUGCCAAGGAUGUUUUCAUUAAUCAAGAACGAAAGUUAGGGGAUCGAAGACGAUCAGAUACCGUCGUAGUCUUAACCAUAAACUAUGCCGACUAGGGAUCGGAUGAUGUAAUUUUUAAUGA
rnacentral:rRNA from 1 species